rnacentral:rRNA from 1 species
UACGUAGGGUGCGAGCGUUGUCCGGAAUUAUUGGGCGUAAAGGGCUCGUAGGCGGUUUGUCACGUCAGGUGUGAAAACUCGGGGCUUAACCCCGAGCCUGCUUCUGAUACGGGCAGACUAGAGGUAUGCAGGGGAGACCGGAAUUCCUGGUGUAGCGGUGAAAUGCGCAGAUAUCAGGAGGAACACCGGUGGCGAAGGCGGUUCUCUGGGCAUUACCUGACGCUGAGGCGCGAAAGUGUGGGGAGCGAACAGG